GGGUAACCUGCCCAUCAGAAGGGGAUAACACUUGGAAACAGGUGCUAAUACCGUAUAACACUAUUUUCCGCAUGGAAGAAAGUUGAAAGGCGCUUUUGCGUCACUGAUGGAUGGACCCGCGGUGCAUUAGCUAGUUGGUGAGGUAACGGCUCACCAAGGCAACGAUGCAUAGCCGACCUGAGAGGGUGAUCGGCCACACUGGGACUGAGACACGGCCCAGACUCCUACGGGAGGCAGCAGUAGGGAAUCUUCGGCAAUGGACGAAAGUCUGACCGAGCAACGCCGCGUGAGUGAAGAAGGUUUUCGGAUCGUAAAACUCUGUUGUUAGGGAAGAACAAGGAUGAGAGUAAAAUGUUCAUCCCUUGACGGUAUCUAACCAGAAAGCCACGGCUAACUACGUGCCAGCAGCCGCGGUAAUACGUAGGUGGCAAGCGUUGUCCGGAUUUAUUGGGCGUAAAGCGAGCGCAGGCGGUUUCUUAAGUCUGAUGUGAAAGCCCCCGGCUCAACCGGGGAGGGUCAUUGGAAACUGGGAGACUUGAGUGCAGAAGAGGAGAGUGGAAUUCCAUGU
rnacentral:rRNA from 1 species